GGUACGGACAAGGGGAAUC
rnacentral:snRNA from 1 species